AUGGCGGUUCGUCGCUCCUAGAAAAAGUUAGGCGGUUUGCAUCGAUGACCUCCAGUCGCCCUGCUGAUCCUUUCCUCUACCUUUCAAUCCACGCCUCCGCACCGCUUCCCACCGCCUUCCCAGCUCCCAUGACGCCGAGCACCCUCCCCUACACCAUCUCCACCCCCCCGCCCUGCUCUUCCCCCUGUGCUCUCAGCCUCGCCCCAAGCCGCCUCCGCAUCCCCGCUCCCUCUUGGCCUCGCCGUCGACCUGGCUCCAACGCCCUCCGCCAGAUCUCCACGCGCUCUCAGCCUUACCAUGCAUGACGCCCUGGUUCCAAUACAUCCCGCUGUCCCCGGCCACUGAUGCACGCUGACUGCUGCGGCGCUCCUCCACUUGCCGACGAGUCGGGCAACGGUGCCUGCAUUGAUCACUUUGACGUUGGCCGCUUCCUCCUGUCCACCUAUGGCACAAGGAGAACUCAAGUGGCAGGUCGGAUCUCCCACUUGAAAGGUGCAAUCCCUCCAACCGAUUCCAUGUGACUGUAUUUUUACUUCUAUGUGCAUGAACUGCAUAUUCUUAUCAUAGAUAGGUUUACUUUUCUUGCCUCUUUAUAUGCGUUCUGUAUUCCAGUUCUUCAGAGUGUUAGGGCCCUGCAGGCUAUGAUAUUUGUGGUGGAUUCGAGUACUCAAAACUAUGCACAAAUAGGGCCUGAAACUUAUAGCUGUCCAUGCCAGAUUGAAAAGAAAAUACACCGUCAUGGGGAUUUCUCCACGACUCAGAGUCUAUUUUGAAAAUGAAGGAGCGGGGACUUGUUUGAGGAGAGAUGAAAGGACUCUAAAGUUUUGGCGCAGCAAUCUUUCUCGGUUAGUCAGAGAUCCAUAUUUUCAUGUCCUUUGGAGUUUGGACGAGCAAUCGACCCAUUACCUAGAUCUAUUGCAGGCACAUCCUAGAGCAGCGUGAGGGACAUACACUGUUAGACAAGGACAAAUUUCAGUAAGUGGGGGAGAAAGGGUAAAAUCUCAAACUAACCAGGACUAAGACACCGUUUCAAAAAAAAAGACAAGGAGCCUGGGACGGAGGAAACUUAAAGAGAAGUCAGAAGUGCCUCACCAAAUCAAUCAACCUGUAUUAUUUAAUUCUUGUGGCCUAGGAUAUAUUUCAUUAGAGGGAAAUUCAUUGCUUUGUGUUAGAAACUAGAAUUGGCAGAAGUUAUUUCAACAGUGGCUUGACAUAGAGAUGUCCAUGCCAGCACCUGAAUCUAUGAUGUGCAAUUUGAUCACAGAAGUGCAUACGCAUCUGUUUAGUUUUUCAUUUAAGUGAUUCAUAGCAUGAAUUCCUUUAAAUGCUGGAAGUACAAUGUAACUAUCCUUAUUGUUAUUUCAGAAGUAUGAUAAAUAAUCUCCAGCAUAUGAUAUUUGUGAACUAUAUGCUUUGUGCUGGCAUUUUUUUAAAUCUGGAAAUGACAGUACACAAGAGUCAAAUUAGGUAGCCAACUUGCUGGUGCGUUCUGAAUUUUACUCUUAAAAGUUAUUUAGGCCAGUUUAGACAGAUUAUGAUAUGCCAUAUCUGCAUGCACUUGCCCAUUCUUUUUACUCACCAACAUCGGACAUAGUGAUUGUUUUUUAUUUUUCACUAAACUUAAAAUGCAUUAAUCUAAUAUAGACUCGAUAUACAUAUUAGAAAAUAAGAAUUCUAGCACAGGAAAGGUGGCCUGUUAUUUGUUUGCACUCAGUCUUGGAAGUUCAGACAACACAGAUGUGAGUUCAAUUGUACAAUAUCUAUAUUCUAUAUUUGUACUUGUUUGGUUGAUGUAGAAGUGUUUCCCCACACGGAGGAGGCUAAGGCGGACGGCCAGCCCUGACCAGCAGGCACCAUGUCCACGGACGGUUCUUGGAGGAGCUCACCUGGGAGCAUCCCUGAGGAGCAAAAUAAGGCAUGAGGAGGCGCACCCCCGCUCCAUGCUUGCGGUUCCUACGAUUUCAGAUGGGAUGGCUGUCUUGAGAGGGUGCUGCGAAUCAUUCUAACAAUGUGGCGGCGUGAACAACCGGUGGGCGGCGCCAUGGCGCAAGGUUCUCAACAUGUGAAGAUGCAACAAAGUGCGAGUUUUUUGUCAUCUUUCUUCAAGCUUGGAACAAUUUCAUGUCCUGGUUAUCUAAAAUACUAACCUUAAUAGUUUAUCACUGGAGUACUAUUAAUUAUGUGCUAAACCUUAAGGUUUUUCUGAUUCCCAUAUAAUGCGAUGGAAGAGAGAGCUUUUUCUUACUAAACAAUAUGCUCUUGCUUGAAUCCUUCUAGACCUGAAAAAAAACUAGAUUUUGAAAGUUUGAUCAUAAGUUACUGAAGAAAUGAAAUAUAUAUUCUUAUUGUUGGUCA